AGUGAACGCUGGCGGUAGGCCUAACACAUGCAAGUCGAACGGCAGCACAGUAAGAGCUUGCUCUUACGGGUGGCGAGUGGCGGACGGGUGAGGAAUACAUCGGAAUCUACUUUUUCGUGGGGGAUAACGUAGGGAAACUUACGCUAAUACCGCAUACGACCUACGGGUGAAAGCAGGGGAUCUUCGGACCUUGCGCGAUUGAAUGAGCCGAUGUCGGAUUAGCUAGUUGGCGGGGUAAAGGCCCACCAAGGCGACGAUCCGUAGCUGGUCUGAGAGGAUGAUCAGCCACACUGGAACUGAGACACGGUCCAGACUCCUACGGGAGGCAGCAGUGGGGAAUAUUGGACAAUGGGCGCAAGCCUGAUCCAGCCAUACCGCGUGGGUGAAGAAGGCCUUCGGGUCGUAAAGCCCUUUUGUUGGGAAAGAAAAGCGGCAGGUUAAUACCCCGCUGUUCUGACGGUACCCAAAGAAUAAGCACCGGCUAACUUCGUG
rnacentral:rRNA from 1 species